UUCUGAUUGCCUCUUCUGGAAAGACUUAUCAGAAACUCAAAAGAACACAACCAUCUGUCUCUCACCUACAUGUGACCUGGAAGACCCCAGUUGGCGGCAGUGGGUUGAGCAUUUUAUUGCCCUGGAAAAGAUUGUGGUUUUGUUGCAAGGAAGAAGAGAAGAAUGACAUUUUUGUGGAGUCUCACACUGUUGCCCAGGCUGGAGUGCAUUGGCACAAUCUCGCCUCACUGCAACCUCCGCCUCCCAGGUUCAAGUCAUCCUUCUGCUUCAGCCUCCCAAAUAGCUGGGAUUACAG